UACGUAGGGAGCAAGCGUUGUCCGGAAUCAUUGGGCGUAAAGCGCGCGUAGGUGGCUUCGUAAGUCCGUUGUGAAAGUCAAGGGCUCAACCCUUGAAUGCCGGUCGAUACUGCCGGACUAGAGUCCGGAAGAGGCAAGUGGAAUUCCCGGUGUAGCGGUGAAAUGCGCAGAUAUCGGGAGGAACACCAAUGGCGAAGGCAGCUUGCUGGGACGGUACUGACGCUGAGACGCGAAAGCGUGGGGAGCAAACAGG
rnacentral:rRNA from 1 species